AUUGAACGCUGGCGGCAGGCCUAACACAUGCAAGUCGAACGAGUGGCGGACGGGUGUGUAAUGUGUGGAACACUGCCUGAUAGGGGGGGAUCACUACUGGACACUGUCGCUAAUACCGCAAACCAUCGGAUAUCCACAGGGGGGAUUAGCUUGUAGGUGGGGUAAGGGCUCACCUAGGCGACGACCCCUAGCUGGUCUGAGAGGAUGACCAGCCACACUGGAACUGAGACACGGCCCAGACUCCUACGGGAGGCAGCAGUGGGGAAUAUUGCACAAUGGGCGCAAGCCUGAUGCAGCCAUGCCGCGUGUAUGAAGAAGGCCUUCGGGUUGUAAAGUACUUUCAGUGGGGAGGCGUUACCGGCAGAAGAAGCACCGGCUAACUACGUGCCAGCAGCCGCGGUAAUAC
rnacentral:rRNA from 1 species